rnacentral:misc_RNA from 1 species
GAUGAGAACGCAGCGAAAUGCGAUAAGUAAUGUGAAUUGCAGAAUUCAGUGAAUCAUCGAAUCUUUGAACGCAUCUUGCGCUCCUUGGUAUUCCUUGGAGCAUGCCUGUUUGAGUAUCAUGAGCAAAUCUCAAAGUCAAUUCCUUUUGUUAAUUCAAUUGGUUUUGCUUUGGACUUGGAGGUCUUGCAGAUUUCACAGUCUGCUCCUCUUAAAUGCAUUAGCUGGAUCUCAGUGAUUAUGCUUGGUUCCACUCGGCGUGAUAAGUAUCACUCGCUGAGGACACUGUUAAAAAGGUGGCCAGGAAAAUACUGAUUGAGCCGCUUCUAACGGUCUAUUAAGUUAGACAAUUACCCUUAAGUUUGAUCUCAAAUCAGGUAGGACUACCCGCUGAACUUAAGCAUAUCAAUAAGCGGAGGA